GCCGAGGUGGCAGAAUCUGGUAAUGCGCUGGACUUGAGAUCCAGUGGGCUUCGGCCCUUUAGGGUUCAAAUCCCUACCUCGGCG
rnacentral:tRNA from 1 species